UAGUGCGUCUUCCCUAUGUCCCGUCCACUUGCACUGCCAAGUUUUUCAAGUAACGCCAAGCCUUCUUGGCUCAGCCUCAGUGUAUGGUGCAUGAUAGAAGAGCGGCACAUGUGCAGUGUUGCAUAUCCAGCCACCCAAGUUGGUCAGACGGUUUUAAACUUGGUUGCCCCUGCACAGCAGCCCUAUGCUGUACCCAUUUGAUCAUGGACUACAAGUUAUGAAAGAGGUUAGGCAUGGUCAUACAUACCUCAAAUUGGGUGAAGUUACAAAAAAAAAUUCAAAUCGCAUUAAAGAAGUCUGCAGAACUAGGGUGUCUACAAGACCACGCCUAAAGAUGUGUGUGAGUAAACUUGUUGCAGUGAAUACAUUCAUAGGUUUCUUCGAAUGUGCACAACCUUGUUGCAUAGCUGUACCGUGGAACAUGUGAAAGGGGAAACAUUACAACCACGGAAUCUGUUCCAAUUAUGCAAGGUUGCAAGUCUACACGCAUAAGCCAAUUAUGUGUCGGCAGUUGAGUACACAUGCUACAAGUUUUUUUAAGUGGCACCACCAACUAUGCUGAACAAUGUUUGACUGAGCUUGGUCAUAGCUUGUUUUUGAUCCGACAUUCACCUUGAGCGAGCACUGUGCCACCCUGGGGCGCAAUCGAUCUGUUGAUUUCACGUUCUGUUCAGUUGCUGCAAUGUCAUAAAGUGGCAUUAUGCAAAAUUUGUGACAACGGGAGGGAGAGAGCAGCCAAUCAGCAAGCGGUUAACUCCCCAAACGACAAAUGACCGGGGAGUUUGCCAUUUUUGGCGACACGCUCCUGUCAAUUAUUUUGAUUACGAGCAUGUUGCUGUCUAGGAGCAGAAUGAGGCGAGAGAUGUGAAGUUUGAGCAGUCAUCCGCUCGCUAGGAGACCAGCUUUGCAUGGCACGUCUGGUGGAUUGGAUCCAAACGGCAGCUGCGGCUACAGAAUGGUUCACCACUUGCCAAUUGGCUGCUCUCUCUAUCCUGUUCUCAAAACAUUUUGCAUACUGCCACUUUGUAACGUCCCAGCAGCAACAGAACACGUUUCAAACAAAGUUCUCCGAUCGUGCCCCUGGUACAAAGUACCGUAAAAACCCGCGUAUAAUACGACUGCACAGUGGCAGUACAUUGCAACAUCCGCGGGAGAGACGUGCAACAAAAUCAUGAAAACUGCAAAUGAAAAGCAGGCAGCAUCGGCUAUAUCCAUAGCUAUAAGCUAUGGAUAUAGCCGGAUGAUGACAGCGGUGUGCUUUGGAUUUAGUUUUACUACAGAGGCAGCCAGCAACAGAAGGCAUUCGGUUCUUGUGCUUCAUUUGGCACAAUUUUUCACUGAAAUGCUGUUUUGGAGCAGGAUGGCUCAAAGGCAAAACUUUUGGCACAGCUGUUCCACCACUGUGCAUCGACUCCACUUACGGCUUGUGAACUGGUGUAGGAGCAGCACUUUCAGGCAACAGCCAAACCGAAUAAAGGAACAGCGCCACAUCAUACAUCAUGAACUUUAAUAAGGACAACAUAUUUACACAGGUGUGCAUACUCUUGUGACACAAAAAUGUAAGCCAAGGACAAUGAAAUUUUGUACAUAACAUGCCAAAACAAAACAAAA